rnacentral:rRNA from 1 species
CCUACGGGUGGCAGCAGUGAGGAAUAUUGGUCAAUGGGCGAGAGCCUGAACCAGCCAAGUCGCGUGAGGGAGUACUGCCCUAUGGGUUGUAAACCUCUUUUGUCGGGGAGCAAAAGCCGGACGUGUCCGGCUGUGAGAGUACCCGAAGAAAAAGCAUCGGCUAACUCCGUGCCAGCAGCCGCGGUAAUACGGAGGAUGCGAGAGUUAUCCGGAUUUAUUGGGUUAAAAGGGUGCGCAGGCGGAUUUUUAAGUCAGCGGUAAAAUCGUGGGGCUCAACCCCAUCCAGCCGUUGAAACUGGGGAUCUAGAGUGUGCGAGAGGUAUGCGGAAUGCGUGGUGUAGCGGUGAAAUGCAUAGAUAUCACGCAGAACCCCGAUUGCGAAGGCAGCAUACCGGUGCACAACUGACGCUCAGGCACGAAAGCGUGGGUAUCGAACAGGAUUAGAUACCCUGGUAGUC